GUUGCUAGUAACCGUAGGUCAGCACACUACGGUGAAUACGUUCUCGGGUCUUGUACACACCGCCCGUCAAGUCAUGGAAGUCGGUAACACUCGAAGUCGCUGGGCCAACCCUUUGGGAGGCAGGUGCCGAGAGUGGGACUGGUGACUGGGACUAAGUCGUAACAAGGUAGCUGUAGCGGAAGCUGCGGCUGGAUCACCUCCUUUUAAGGGAGCAUGG
rnacentral:rRNA from 1 species